rnacentral:tRNA from 1 species
ACUAUUUUGGCAGAUUAGUGCAAUUGAUUUAGGUUCUUUAAAAAAAGUUUAUAACUUUAAAUAGUA